GAUGAAGAACGCAGCGAAAUGCGAUAAGUAAUGUGAAUUGCAGAAUUCAGUGAAUCAUCGAAUCUUUGAACGCACAUUGCGCCCGCCAGUAUUCUGGCGGGCAUGCCUGUCUGAGCGUCAUUUCAACCCUCAUGCCCCUAGGGCGUGGUGUUGGGGAUCGGCCAAAGCCCGCGAGGGACGGCCGGCCCCUAAAUCUAGUGGCGGACCCGUCGUGGCCUCCUCUACGAAGUAGUGAUAUUCCGCAUCGGAGAGCGAUGAGCCCCUGCCGUUAAACCCCCAACUUUCCAAGGUUGACCUCAGAUCAGGUAGGAAUACCCGCUGAACUUAAGCAUAUCAAUAAGCGGAGGA
rnacentral:misc_RNA from 1 species